GUGCUGGUUUCCGCUGCCCACAUAGUGAAACUGGAGUGAUACAGAGAAGAUUGUUAGUGUGAUCCCAGCACCAGAUGUCAUGCACAUUUGGGAAGCUUUCCAUGUUCUU